rnacentral:rRNA from 1 species
GGAGAAAAGCAGGGGAUCGUAAGACCUUGCGCUUUUGGAGCGGCCGAUGCCUGAUUAGCCAGUUGGUGGGGUAAAAGCCUACCAAGGCAACGAUCAGUAGUUGGUCUGAGAGGACGGCCAGCCACACUGGGACUGAGACACGGCCCAGACUCCUACGGGAGGCAGCAGUGGGGAAUUUUGGACAAUGGGCGCAAGCCUGAUCCAGCAAUGCCGCGUGAGUGAAGAAGGCCUUCGGGUUGUAAAGCUCUUUCAGUCGAGAAGAAAAGAUUGUGAUGAAUAAUCACAGUUCAUGACGGUAUCGACAGAAGAAGCACCGGCUAACUACGUGCCAGCAGCCGCGGUAAUACGUAGGGUGCAAGCGUUAAUCGGAAUUACUGGGCGUAAAGGAUGCGCAGGCGGCUUUGUAAGUCAGAUGUGAAAUCCCCGGGCUUAACCUGGGAAUUGCGUUUGAAACUACAAGGCUAGA